UACGUAGGGUCCGAGCGUUGUCCGGAUUUAUUGGGCGUAAAGAGCUCGUAGGCGGUUUCGUAAGUCGGAUGUGAAAACUCAGGGCUCAACCCGGAGACGCCAUCCGAUACUGCGAUGACUGGAGUCUGGUAGGGGAUCACGGAAUACCUGGUGUAGCGGUGAAAUGCGCAGAUAUCAGGUGGAACACCGAUGGCGAAGGCAGUGAUCUGGGCCAGUACUGACGCUGAGGAGCGAAAGCGUGGGGAGCAAACAGG
rnacentral:rRNA from 1 species